GAUGAACGCUAGCGGCAGGCCUAACACAUGUAAGUCGAGGGGUAACAGAGGUAGCUUGCUACUUGCUGACGACCGGCGCACGGGUGCGUAACGCGUAUACAAUCUGCCUUGUACUGGAGAAUAGCCCAGAGAAAUUUGGAUUAAUGCUCCAUAAUGUAUAAAGUUCGCCUGAACAUUAUAUUAAAGGUUACGGUACAAGAUGAGUAUGCGUCCUAUUAGUUAGUUGGUGCGGUAACGGCGCACCAAGACAGCGAUAGGUAGGGGCCCUGAGAGGGGGAUCCCCCACACUGGUACUGAGACACGGACCAG
rnacentral:rRNA from 1 species